rnacentral:rRNA from 1 species
UACAGAGGUCUCAAGCGUUGUUCGGAUUCAUUGGGCGUAAAGGGUGCGUAGGUGGCGGGGUAAGUCAGGUGUGAAAUUUCGGAGCUUAACUCCGAAACUGCAUUUGAUACUGCCUUGCUUGAGGACUGGAGAGGAGACUGGAAUUCACGGUGUAGCAGUGAAAUGCGUAGAUAUCGUGAGGAAGACCAGUGGCGAAGGCGGGUCUCUGGACAGUUCCUGGACACUGAGGCACGAAGGCCAGGGGAGCAAACGGG